AAACAAAUUGCUCUGUUAGUUUUCCUUCUCUGCUGUUAUAUAAAAGUUGAAAAGUUUAAUACACCGUAAAAAGGAGAAUUUUGUGCUUACUAACAACGUUUAAAUUUCAAAGUCUUUUUUUAUAAAGCAUGAGUUUCCUUCAUUGAAUAAUGUUGAAAUUAUCAAAUCCGAUUCACAAAGUAAAAUAAAACAAAAAUAAUAUAUUUUUGUGUUCUGUUCUAUUUAAUUAAAGAUCUUAUAUGUUUUCUUUUCCGCUUUGUCUGCGUAAUAAAGAUCACUUAAAGUUUCAAAAAUAAUUUAGAAGUUUGAUUAUAUCUGUGUCGCAAAAUUAAAGAUAAUUUUGAAGAGAACCAAAUAAUAUUGACAUUAAUUAACCAAGCGAAUAUUUUUAUUUAUUACCAAUACAAAUUAUACAUUUCAUUAAGGGAUUGGUAUUUCAAAAUGCUUGAAUGGACAAAGACAUAAAACUCGUAGGAUAUUCAAAUUUUAGACUCUAGCCUAAAUGGUAAAGCUUUUUUAUUCGGGUAAUUAAUUAUUAAUAAGAUCUGAAAUAUAUAUGGUUUUUUUUUGACUGGCUACCUGUCUUUUAAUGUGUACAAACACAGCUAAGGAAAGUUUCGGAGGCAAAUUAUAACUUUUACGGGAUGCCAAGGUCAGUGGUCAGUCGUUAUUUAAGGGCAAUAAACAAAGCUAAAUGCAGUUUAUAAUAUGCACAGUUAAUGAAGGCUACAGCGCACACAAACGUGUAACUUAAUAUGAAAUUAGUGUUACGGUUAAACCAGUUGAAUAUAAUCAAGAUGUAGGCAAAUGGCAUGACUACACUAAUACCAAAGUACUGCUUUAUUGUUACUUGUUAUAUACAUAUGUAACUACGUAUUUGUUCCACUUGAAUGCGCCUCGCUACAUACACAGAUUUCCAAAUACAUUUUUCCAAUCUGGUAGUUCAUCUUAAUGUCUUUGGGGAAAUCAAACAUUUGAUUUCUCUUCUGUUAAUAAAUGUAAAUCAACGUAAAUUUAUUCCUGCAAUUAGGUAAAGCUUCUUAACCCACUAUUGUAUGUUCGAAAAAUAUUCCUUUUUUUCUUUUAUUCCCUGCGAGCUAGCAGAUGGUUUUGUCGGAGUGAAAAGUUGAUGGCACUUUCCCCAAACAGGACCAGACAACUUAGACAGAGGGCCAGACAAAAGGAAACAAAGAACAAGGAACCGAUGAAAUCUGGAGUGUUUUUCAGGUUUUUAUUUAGACUUCGACUGCAAUCUUGGUAAACCAGACCGCCGACCGAUUUCCGCGAGUAAUCGCUUUCCUGCAACAGCAGCAGUAAAUGGUUGUAAACAAAUUGAAAAUGACUAACGGUCGGGAAAUGUGAUGAGGGUAAGUGCCACUCAAGCCUCAACUUACUAAGCUAAUGCUGUCUACAGGUGUCAAUAAAACCAGAGACGUGCCGAAAAAGCCAGACACAACGCAGACGACACAACCAAUACAUUAAAUUGAUUUUGCCAUCUAUACAUACAUUAGGCACGACUAGUAGACUAAACACAAACAAAAUAUUUCACUAGAGUCGUGCAGGAAUACUAAGACAGUUAUACAAGAUUUAUUGAUCAAUUUAUGAAGUGCAUUUCAAACUUCUUAAAAUAAAUUUAUAAUCAAUGAAGAUUGCUCUAGAUAUAGCAAAAACCAUUUUUUUUACUUCCAUAACUAGAAGGCUGAGUUUUGUUCACCUUAGAUAUUUGCGGCACGCUUUCAGAUCUAGAAGGUAUGAGUAUUAGGAAAUAUACAGCAAAAAAACAGAGCCACAUUGCUUUGCUUCGUGCACCGCAAGCGACUCAAAAUGAGACUGCGACAAAGCUCGGGCUAUUGAUUUUGCGACUACUAAUGGAGGAGGGGCGAUGUCCAAGUCUCAACACCAACUCCCAAUCCGCUAUUUCGUUAUUUCGCCAUUACGAAAAUUUUGAGUUCGCCCCGAAGCUUCCUGCAGCAACCAGAAGGCGGUGAAAUGGGCAGGAAGGAAAUGGCGGACACGGGGAAAACUAGGAUCUCAAACCGCCUCUUAGUUGCCAAGUGGUCGCGCUGUUUUUCGUGACGCACCAGGCGGCGGCUUCUCAUGCGUCACCAACGUCUUUUAAUAGGAAAACAGCUGUUGUUGUUUGGCUUUGAUCAAAUGCAACCAAAACAAAAAUAAACAAUCUUGUCUUGUUAUUGGAAUUAUCAAUUGCAUGUCUUCUGCACAAAUUGCAGGUCCUUCAAGGUUGAUUUAUAGACAAGGAGUACACCAGCAAAAUGUCAUUUUACUAGUUAGUUUUGGGUUUUGUGCCUUAACCAAGGGCAGGCCAAAACUAUUGGGGACAAACAGCGCCGCAUUUAUCGCACUAUAUUUAGAACCCGGGGUGGUCGGUGGUGUGUGAGCGGUGACAUUUCCCCUUUUUACACCAAUCUACCACCCUCCACCACCCACUGAGGUUUGUAAAUUGUAUUGCAUGCUUUGUUGUUUGCUUUUUGGUCUAUUUUUGGAUAUGACAUGUAUUGGUGAAAUUCUGCACACAAGCUGCCAAAACGUGACAGCAGUAAAAAUAUCGAACAACGAUAUAUAACCGCGAAAAGAAGUCUGAAAGCUCCCAACUCUCAUGCUAUUUCUCAAUUUCUAAUUAACGACUUCUUAAGUGCAAGUGUAUUUAAUUGGACAGCAGAAGUAUUCAAGCUGCGCUUCAUUCAAGAUGUUCCGAGACCCAAUAAGUUUAACUAAAUCAAAAUGACCUUAAACAAAUUGCUGGAGGCAGUUUAAUGUCCCAACGUAUUGCUGAACAUUUCAAGGAAUUCAAUUGGCGUUCGAUUGUAUGCGUGGGAAUAUGGAAUAUUUAAGAACUGGCGGAAAGCAGAUAAACCCAGACAACAAAAUACAAACAGCUGGAAUACAAAAUUACCAAGUGGCGUAUACGUAAUCUCUAUCCUGAGUUAAGGUAGAUGUACUCUUCAUAAGAAAAUGAAAUUAUAAGCAAUGUUAGAUUGGCAUUCAAACUCGAAAAUUGUAUGUAUAUAUGAUUAAAAGGAACUCUACUCUACUAAAUAAUUGGGGGUUUGGUAAAUGGUGUGUCAAGGGAUGACUUCUUUUUGUAUCUGAAGUGUAAGUUCGUUUGGUAUAUUCUUUAUAAGGCCAAACCGGAUUUUUAAAAUGUUCCCCUGGUUGAUACGCUUAUCUCGUCGCUCUUGUGUUAUCACGGAUAAAUAAAAAGAGAGAAUAAAACUGAAUAAGCUUUUUUUUUUGUUUGUAUUGCCGGGCCGGGGCAAUAUCAUUGAACUUGUUCAAGGACAAGAGACCCCAAACGGAAAUAAAACGGAAAGAGCACAAGAAAUCUGACAGGAGAAUCGGUUGAAUAAUGAAUAUCGUUAGGAUUUUCAACAACGAUUGGAACAUAAAUGAAAUUCCUGUGCGUAUGGCUCAGAAUCAGUUGCCGGGUUCUAUUUUAAUUUCUCUUUCAAAUCCAAUUGACGCAUUUUACUGAUAUCGAUUAGCAAGAUCAAGAUAAACACAGGUAGAAAAUGCGAAAACUCGAGAUAACAGCAAAUCACAGCCAAACCUUGUUAAGUGACUGAUUGUAAAAUUAAAAACUAUGAAGGAAGGCAAUCUUUUCACAACAACUUUGCUACGUCCAAAUUUGCUCAGUAUAAAAUGCAAACUGAUUUGGUUGGUUCGGUCAAAAACCGUUUCUCUCGGCAAUGUCUUUUGUUUACUGUUUGCUGUCUCGCUUUGAUUAAUAUAGAUCUGCCUUAAAUGUCUUCAACAGAUUAGAUAAUAGAUAAAACUACGUGUAUGUACACUGCAAAUGACGUAUGAAGAUGAUUAAAACUGCCAAAAAAGAAAACCAAACUUCACUAGUGCAGUGCAAAAUAGUUUUCGUACCGUCCUGGUUCCAUUCGGAUGAUAAAAGUGGGUCAGCUAACAUCUUCUUUCAACUGGCGAGGGCAGUUAACCAGGUAACUGGGUCAAAUGAAAGUAAAAUGCGUGAAGUUACCAAUUUAUUUUAAGUAUAUGAUUGCUGUGAAUGAUACUAAAUAGGCCAUGACUUUUCUAUACGUUUUAUGUAUGUAAACAAAGCAGGAUUUUUUUUGCUCUUGACUACUUUAAUUGCGAACGAGAAAAAUUAUUCAUUGGAGCUACGAGGUAUUAUUGGUAUUUCAAAUAAUGCAUUUGAAAAGUUCUUAUGUUCAUUACUAAUUAAAAUUUUAAUUUCCUUAAUUUUAUUUAUAAAAAAUGUAAACACAAGUAUGUUUAUGUUCUUCUUACAAGAUGGCGAGACAUAUUAUGUGACUUGGCAACUUUUUUACAAAUUCUUAUUUUCCAAUUUCCUUAUAAUAAUACUUA